ACCCUCUGCUGCUGCUGCCAUGGGUUGCAACCCUCUGCUGCCGCUGCUGACAUGGGCUGCAACCCUCAGCUGCUGCUGCAACUCCUGCUGCUGCCGUGGGCUCCAACCCCCUGCUGCUGCAGCAACCCUCUGCUGCUGCUGCACCUCCUGCUGCAGGCUGCAACCCUCUGCUGCUGCAGGCUGCAACCCUCUGCUGCUGCUGCAACCCUCUGCUGCUGCAGGCUGCAACCCUCUGCUGCUGCAGGCUGCAACCCUCUGCUGCUGCUGCACCUCCUGCUGCAGGCUGCAACCCUCUGCUGCUGCAGGCUGCAACCCUCUGCUGCUGCAGGCUGCAACCCUCUGCUGCUGCAGGCUGCAACCCUCUGCUGCUGCAGGCUGCAACCCUCUGCUGCUGCAGGCUGCAACCCUCUGCUGCUGUUGCAGGCUGCACCCCCCUGCUGCUGCCACAGCCUCCACCUGCUGCCAGAGGUUGCAAUGCUGAAGCUCAGAGGCUGCCGUGGAGCAAGCUGGCCCUGAGGAGCUGCUGUGCUGGGGCUGACAGGGAGCUGGGAAGCAGCUGGGGGGUGGCUGCCUGCUGGGGGGGGGCCGUGGCUGUGACCAGGACUCUCCUGGGCAAUCCUUACCUCAUUUUGUGUGUGUCUGAGCUGUGUCGUUGCCUUUGGACAGACAGAGGAUGUUUCUCUGUCCCUUAGCAACCCCUUUUUAGCCUCUGUCUGGUAUUUAUUAGCAGCCAGUGGCCCUUCUGCCCCCCCAGCAGUCAGUGCCAUGCCUACUGAGCCCCUGCAGUGCCCUCCUGCCUGCCUGAGCUGGUGCCCAAGUGCAGCAGCCCUGGCACUGCAACCGAGCCACAGCUAAACACAGGCAGCAGCCUCUGCCAGCUGCCUGCUGCUGCCUCCUCCUUGCUCAGAGCUGACUUUGCUCCCAGCCAAGCCUGCAGAGGCUCAGAGGGAAGCUCAGGCCCAUAGGCCUUGGGGUUGUAGUGACCAAAGACCAGAGGAGCUCAGGCUCAGCAGUCCUCAGCUGAGCUCCACUCUGCUGCUGAGGUUGUUCCACUGCCAGCAGGCAGCUGAGCUGUGGCUGGAUGAGUGCAUUCUGGCAGAAGGUUUUUCCCUCCUCUUCCUCACUCCACUGGUAGGAGGCUGUAGCCAGCCCUGUCCUGGCUCUGUCUGCUGAGCACCCUCUGUGUGCACCUUCUGCUGAGGAGCCCAGAGCAAUGCUGGGGCACCUCUGGCCUUGCAGGGUGCAGCAGUGACAUGGCCAAGGCCACCUCCUUUCUAGCCUUGAAGGCAGUUGGGCACCACCUCUUUGAGGGGCACCAACCCUGUGAGGGGUACCACCCCUUUGGGGGGCACCCCCCUGUGGGGGACACCCCUCAGGCCAGAAGGCUGCCUUGACCCCCAAUGUCUGUGCUGCCUCAGCCCCUAUGGAUUGAAAGGACUGAAAGCUUUGCAGAGAGCCUGAAUGCCUGAGCCAGGUGGGAUGGAGCUGCCCAGAGCCUGUCUGGGUGUCUGAGCCAGGUGGAAGGGAGCUGCCCAGAGCCUGUCUGGGUGUCUGAGCCAGGUGGAAGGGAGCUGCCCAGAGCCUGUCUGGGUGUCUGAGCCAGGUGGAAGGGAGCUGCCCAGAGCCUGUCUGGGUGUCUGAGCCAGGUGGAAGGGAGCUGCUGGGCAUGACCCCCCCCUGCAGAGCCACACUCAGGCAGCAGCCUGGGGACCAGCCCAGGCCCUGGGUCUGGCUGAGCUGCAGGUGGAAGCAGCUGAAGGCACCAGGCUGAGCAGGGUUAGGCUUUUUCCCUCUCCAGCUGUCCCCACGAGCAGGCAGCACACAGGCAGAGGUUGUCUCUGUGUGUGUGUGUGUGAGGGGCUGGGACUGAUGCCUGUGUUCAGCUGUGGCUGCUUUUAGGCCCUACCUGAAGGUUCCAAACUCACCUCCAAGCCCUGGAGCCCUCCCUCUGCAGCAGGAGAACAGGAAGAAGAGCAAAAGAGAGCAGUGCUGAGCAUGCAGCUGAGACAAAGCACCAGCAGCUCUUUGCCUUCAGCUCAGUGGCUGUACACAGACCCCUCCCCAGGGUGGCCAAUGCCCUCCCCAGGGUGGCAAAUGCCCUCCCAGCCCUCCUUGCCUCUGCCUGUGCAGCCCCAGCUGGCUUGGUUAGUGGGGACCAGUCUGUGUCUCGUCUCCUGUCGUGUGCUGUGUGCAGAUGUCUUUGACUUCUGUCUCUGUAGUGUUUUCUCACCUGGGGGUUGGGUUCUUUUCUUUGGGGCUUUUGGGGGUUGGUUUUUUUUUUCCCCCCUUUGGUUUUAUUUUUCCCUGGUUUUGGUUUGGGUUAUUUUGGGUUUGGGUUAUUUUGGGUUUGGGUUAUUUUGGGUUUGGGUUUAUUUUUGCUUUUGUAUCUCUCUCACCCUUUGAAUAAAAUCAAGUGCCCUACCUGA